AUUGAACGCUGGCGGCAUGCUUUACACAUGCAAGUCGAACGGCAGCGCGGGCUUCGGCCUGGCGGCGAGUGGCGAACGGGUGAGUAAUGCAUCGGAACGUGCCCAGUCGUGGGGGAUAGCCCGGCGAAAGCCGGAUUAAUACCGCAUACGACCUGAGGGUGAAAGCGGGGGACCGAAAGGCCUCGCGCUAUUGGAGCGGCCGAUGUCGGAUUAGCUAGUUGGUGGGGUAAAGGCUUACCAAGGCGACGAUCCGUAGCUGGUCUGAGAGGCCGACCAGCCACACUGGGACUGAGACACGGCCCAGACUCCUACGGGAGGCAGCAGUGGGGAAUUUUGGACAAUGGGGGCAACCCUGAUCCAGCCAUGCCGCGUGCGGGAAGAAGGCCUUCGGGUUGUAAACCGCUUUUGUUCGGGAAGAAAUCCUCUGGGCUAAUACCCCGGGGGGAUGACGGUACCGGAAGAAUAAGCACCGGCUAACUACGUG
rnacentral:rRNA from 1 species